UACGGGGGGGGCAAGCGUUGUUCGGAAUUACUGGGCGUAAAGGGUUUGUAGGUGGCUCGCUAAGUCAGACGUGAAAUCCCCCGGCUUAACCUGGGAACUGCGUCUGAUACUGGACGGCUUGAGUAUGGGAGAGGGAUGUAGAAUUCCAGGUGUAGCGGUGAAAUGCGUAGAUAUCUGGAGGAAUACCGGUGGCGAAGGCGGCAUCCUGGACCAUUACUGACGCUGAGGCGCGAAAGCUAGGGGAGCAAACGGG
rnacentral:rRNA from 1 species